AUUGAACGCUGGCGGCAGGCCUAACACAUGCAAGUCGAGCGCGCGGCGGACGGGUGAGUAAUGUAUGGGGACUGCCCGAUAGAGGGGGAUAACUACUGGAAACGGUAGCUCAUACCGCAUACUAUCGGAUAACCCAUAUGGGAUUAGCUAGUAGGUGAGGUAAUGGCUCACCUAGGCGACGCUCCCUCGCUGGUCUGAGAGGAUGAUCAGCCAAACUGGGACUGGAACACGGCCCAGACUCCUAGGGGGGCAGCGGGGGGGAAUAUGGCACAAUGGGCGAAAGCCUGAUGCAGCCAGGCCGCGUGUAUGAAGAAGGCCCUAGGGUUGUAAAGUACUUUCAGGCGGGAGGCGUUACCGACAGAAGAAGCACCGGCUAACUCCGUGCCAGCAGCCGCGGUAAUA
rnacentral:rRNA from 1 species